rnacentral:rRNA from 1 species
GUAUGGUGCAAGCGUUAUCCGGAUUUACUGGGUGUAAAGGGAGCGCAGGCGGUGCGGCAAGUCUGAUGUGAAAGCCCGGGGCUCAACCCCGGGACUGCAUUUGGAACUGCUGAGCUAGAGUGUCGGAGAGGCAAGUGGAAUUCCUAGUGUAGCGGUGAAAUGCGUAGAUAUUAGGAGGAACACCAGUGGCGAAGGCGGCUUGCUGGACGAUGACUGACGUUGAGGCUCGAAAGCGUGGGGAGCAAACAGGAUUAGAUACCCUGGUAGUCCACGCCGUAAACGAUGACUGCUAGGUGUCGGGUGGCAAAGCCAUUCGGUGCCGCAGCUAACGCAAUAGGCAGUCCACCUGGGGAGU